rnacentral:rRNA from 1 species
UACAGAGGGGGCAAGCGUUAUUCGGAAUUAUUGGGCGUAAAGGGCGCGUAGGCGGCUUGGCAAGUGGAUGGUGAAAUCCCUCGGCUUAACCGAGGAACUGCCGUCCAAACUGCUUUGCUUGAGACCGGGAGAGGUGAGUGGAAUUCCCAGUGUAGCGGUGAAAUGCGUAGAUAUUGGGAGGAACACCAGUGGCGAAGGCGGCUCACUGGACCGGUACUGACGCUGAGGCACGAAAGCGUGGGGAGCAAACAGG